GGGGACAUAGCUCAAAGGUAGAGCGUCUGACUCCAGAUCAGACGGUUGGGUGUUCGAGUCGCCCUGUCCUCA
rfam:Vitrella brassicaformis CCMP3155 genome assembly, contig: scaffold123